rnacentral:rRNA from 1 species
CUGCAGCCCGAGUGGUGAUCGAUUUUAUUGAGCCUAAAGCGUCCGUAGCCGGACUAGUAAACCCUUGGGUAAAUUGGGCAGCUUAACUGUCCGAAUUCCGAGGGGACUGCUAGUCUUGGGACCGGGAGAGGUCAGAGGUACUCAAGGGGUAGGGGCUAAAUCCUGUAAUCCUUUGGGGACCACCAGUGGCGAAGGCGUCUGACUAGAACGGAUCCGACGGUAAGGGACGAAACCCUGGGGCGCGAACCGGAUUAGAGACCCGAGUAGUCC